rnacentral:rRNA from 1 species
GACGAACGCUGGCGGCGUGCUUAACACAUGCAAGUCGAACGAAGAGCGACGGAAGCUUGCUUCUAUCAAUCUUAGUGGCGAACGGGUGAGUAACGCGUAAUCAACCUGCCCUUCAGAGGGGGACAACAGUUGGAAACGACUGCUAAUACCGCAUACGAUCUAGCCUCGGCAUCGAGGAUAGAUGAAAGGUGGCCUCUACAUGUAAGCUAUCACUGAAGGAGGGGAUUGCGUCUGAUUAGCUAGUUGGAGGGGUAACGGCCCACCAAGGCGAUGAUCAGUAGCCGGUCUGAGAGGAUGAACGGCCACAUUGGGACUGAGACACGGCCCAGACUCCUACGGGAGGCAGCAGUGGGGAAUCUUCCGCAAUGGACGAAAGUCUGACGGAGCAACGCCGCGUGAGUGAUGACGGCCUUCGGGUUGUAAAGCUCUGUUAAUCGGGACGAAAGGCCUUCUUGCGAAUAGUGAGAAGGAUUGACGGUACCGGAAUAGAAAGCCACGGCUAACUACGUG